rnacentral:rRNA from 1 species
UACAGAGGGUGCGAGGGUUAAUCGGAAUUACUGGGCGUAAAGCGUGCGUAGACGGUAGCGUAAGUCAGAUGUGAAAGCCCCGGGCUCAACCUGGGAACUGCAUUUGAGACUGCUCUGCUCGGGUGCGGAAGAGGGAAGCGGAAUUUCCGGUGUAGCGGUGAAAUGCGUAGAUAUCGGAAGGAACACCAGUGGCGAAAGCGGCUUCCUGGUCCGACACCGACGUUCAGGCACGAAAGCGUGGGGAGCAAACAGG